CAGAAUUUCCUGCCAUGUCUGUGUUGUGAAGUAUCCUUCUCCUUUGAUUUUACUUACUUAUUUGAACAUGCAAAGCUCACUAUUUGCUGUUGAGCUGUACAAAAACAAGCGGUGGGCAUGAUCCAUCUCAACCCACUACAGUUUGACCAGUCCUAGAUUACAAUCAAUGAGAAAGGUCCCAGCACUCAAGAGGCUAAGUUAAGAAUUAUUUCUAUGAUCCUCUCUGAUGAAGAUAGAAAACUGUAUCCUGCUCCUUCCAG
rnacentral:lncRNA from 1 species